UACAGAGGUCUCGAGCGUUGUUCGGAAUUACUGGGCGUAAAGGGCCAGUAGGCGGCCAACUAAGUCCGACGUGAAAUCCCAAAGCUUAACUUUGGAACUGCGUCGGAUACUGGAUGGCUUGAAUUCGGGAGAGGGAUGCAGAAUUCCAGGUGUAGCGGUGAAAUGCGUAGAUAUCAGGAGGAACACCGAUGGCGAAGGCAGGUCUCUGGGCAUUAACUGACGCUGAGGAGCGGAAAGCAUGGGGAGCGAACAGG
rnacentral:rRNA from 1 species